UACGUAGGCAGCAAGCGUUGUUCGGAGUUACUGGGCGUAAAGGGUGUGUAGGCGGUUUUCUAAGUCUGGUGUGAAAUCUCCCGGCUCAACUGGGAGGGUGCGCCGAAAACUGGGAGGCUAGAGUACUGGAUGGGAGAGUGGAAUUCCUGGUGUAGCGGUGAAAUGCGUAGAUAUCGUCUGGAACGCCAAAGGUGAAAACAGACUGCUGGGAGUGUGCUGACGCUGAGACACGAAAGCCAGGGGAGCAAACGGG
rnacentral:rRNA from 1 species